AGAACGAACGCUGGCGGCAUGCCUAACACAUGCAAGUCGAACGCUUUUGGGGCUUCGGUCCCAAAGGAGUGGCGCACGGGUGAGUAGCGCGUGGGAACCUGCCCUGGAGUGGGGGAUAACCGAGGGAAACUUCGGCUAAUACCGCAUACGCCGGGAAACCGGGAAAGAUUUAUCGCUCUAGGAGGGGCCCGCGUCGGAUUAGGUAGUUGGUGGGGUAACGGCCUACCAAGCCUGUGAUCCGUAGCUGGUCUGAGAGGAUGAUCAGCCACACUGGGACUGAGACACGGCCCAGACUCCUACGGGAGGCAGCAGUGGGGAAUAUUGGACAAUGGGGCAACCUGAUCCAGCAAUGCCGCGUGAGUGAUGAAGGCCUUAGGGUUGUAAAGCUCUUUCGCCGCGACGAUGAUGACGGUAGCGGAGAAGAAGCCCGGCUAACUCGCGCCAGCAGCCGC
rnacentral:rRNA from 1 species